rnacentral:rRNA from 1 species
GAUGAACGCUGGCGGCGUGCCUAAUACAUGCAAGUCGAGCGAACGGACGAGAAGCUUGCUUCUCUGAUGUUAGCGGCGGACGGGUGAGUAACACGUGGAUAACCUACCUAUAAGACUGGGAUAACUUCGGGAAACCGGAGCUAAUACCGGAUAAUAUUUUGAACCGCAUGGUUCAAAAGUGAAAGACGGUCUUGCUGUCACUUAUAGAUGGAUCCGCGCUGCAUUAGCUAGUUGGUAAGGUAACGGCUUACCAAGGCAACGAUGCAUAGCCGACCUGAGAGGGUGAUCGGCCACACUGGAACUGAGACACGGUCCAGACUCCUACGGGAGGCAGCAGUAGGGAAUCUUCCGCAAUGGGCGAAAGCCUGACGGAGCAACGCCGCGUGAGUGAUGAAGGUCUUCGGAUCGUAAAACUCUGUUAUUAGGGAAGAACAUAUGUGUAAGUAACUGUGCACAUCUUGACGGUACCUAAUCAGAAAGCUACGGCUAACUACGUG